GGCAAUAACAUAAAAACCAUUAUACAAUGGCGGUCAUCACUAAUUAAAGAAACUCGCUUUAUAAUCGUAAACACCCGUUAAAUCUAACUUAAAGUCCAAAGCUUAUAUACCGCCGUUAAGAGUUUACCAAAAACACAACCCUACAACUAUCACCAGAAAAAAUCAGGUCAAGGUGUAGCCAACAAAUAAGCAAAAGUAAGUUACUAUGAAAACAAUUUAAGGAAAAAACGACAAAAACCAUAAUAGAAAUCGAAUUUAUAUGUACAAACUAAUUAAAAUCCAGAAUAGAAACAGAAAUUGAAGAUGC
rnacentral:rRNA from 1 species